rnacentral:tRNA from 1 species
GCUUCCGUAGCUUACCCUUAAAGCACGACCCUGAAGCGGUCAAGAACGGGACAUCCAUCCCCGGAAACA